rnacentral:rRNA from 1 species
AGGCGGGCUUGCCAAAAAUGCAAGUCGAGCGGCAGCGCGGGAGCAAUCCUGGCGGCGAGCGGCGGACGGGUGAGUAACGCUUGGGAAUCUGCCUGUUAGUGGGGGACAACCCGGGGAAACUCGGGCUAAUACCGCAUACGCACUACGGUGGAAAGCCGGGGACCGCAAGGCCUGGCGCUAACAGAUGAGCCCAAGUCGGAUUAGCUAGUUGGUAGGGUAACGGCCUACCAAGGCGACGAUCCGUAACUGGUCUGAGAGGACGACCAGUCACACCGGAACUGAGACACGGUCCGGACUCCUACGGGAGGCAGCAGUGGGGAAUAUUGGACAAUGGGCGAAAGCCUGAUCCAGCGACGCCGCGUGGGUGAAGAAGGCCUGCGGGUUGUAAAGCCCUUUCAGUGGGGAAGAAAAGCCUCGUUCUAACACAGCGGGGUCUUGACGUAACCCAUAGAAGAAGCACCGGCUAACUCUGUGCCAGCAGCCGCGGUAAUACAGAGGGUGCGAGCGUUAAUCGGAAUUACUGGGCGUAAAGCGCGCGUAGGCGGCUUUGCAAGUCGGGUGUGAAAUCCCCAGGCUUAACCUGGGAACUGCAUUCGAGACUGCAUUGCUAGAGUAUGGGAGAGGGAAGUGGAAUUUCCGGUGUAGCGGUGAAAUGCGUAGAUAUCGGAAGGAACAUCAGUGGCGAAAGCGACUUCCUGGACCAAUACUGACGCUCAUGUGCGAAAGCGUGGGGAGCAAACAGGAUUAGAUACCCUGGUAGUCCACGCCAUAAACGAUGAGAACUGGAUGUCGGGGAGGGUCUGCCUUCUCGGUGUCGUUAGCUAACGCCGUUAAGG